ACAUUUACCUGGCACCGGGUUCAGGGUGAUCAAGAAUGCUCUGAUCCCGGGUGUAGGGUCACCAUUGCACCUUGGUGGGUUGAAACUCGCAACGGACCCUAAUCGGGUGCGCUCGGGCGUGUAGUUUUUGUUAGUGGUGGCCCCUCUG
rfam:Trichobilharzia regenti genome assembly, scaffold: TRE_contig0036665